rnacentral:rRNA from 1 species
CAGCAGCCGCGGUAAUACAGAGGUCUCAAGCGUUGUUCGGAUUCAUUGGGCGUAAAGGGUGCGUAGGUGGCGGGGUAAGUCAGGUGUGAAAUUUCGGAGCUUAACUCCGAAACUGCAUUUGAUACUGCCUUGCUUGAGGACUGGAGAGGAGACUGGAAUUCACGGUGUAGCAGUGAAAUGCGUAGAGAUCGUGAGGAAGACCAGUGGCGAAGGCGGGUCUCUGGACAGUUCCUGACACUGAGGCACGAAGGCCAGGGGAGCAAACGGGAUUAGAUACCCCGGUAGUCCUGGCAGUAAACGGUGCACGUUUGGUGUGGGGGGAUUCGACCCCUUCCGCGCCGGAGCUAACGCGUUAAACGUGCCGCCUGGGGAGUACGGUCGCAAGAUUAAAACUCAAAGAAAUUGACGG